UACGUAGGAUGCUAGCGUUGUCCGGAUUUACUGGGCGUAAAGCGCGCGCAGGCGGCACUGUAAGUCAGGUGUGAAAUCUCCCUGCUCAACGGGGAGGGUGCACUUUAGACUGCAGAGCUAGAGGACGGUAGAGGGGGGUGGAAUUGCUGGUGUAGCGGUGAAAUGCGUAGAGAUCAGCAGGAACACCCGUGGCGAAGGCGGCCCCCUGGGCCGAACCUGACGCUGAGGCGCGAAGGCUAGGGGAGCGAACGGG
rnacentral:rRNA from 1 species